rnacentral:lncRNA from 1 species
GGCAGACAUCGGAGGCGAUCGACUAUCGCAGGGACCCAGUUGCUGGAGCUCGUCCGGAAUCCAUCCACUGGAGAAGUUCGGGCGGGCUUCAGUUCUCGUGAGAGGUCGAAAAGGGGCUGUUUAUUGUAGGAGCUCGGGCGAGGACCAGUUGUCGUGGAAGCUCGGAGUAGUGUCCCGCUGUAUAAGUUCGUCCAGAGCCCACUCGCUACGGGAUAGCUCGGUUGAAGUCUACCUGUAGUA